rnacentral:lncRNA from 1 species
UCUUGCUCUCGUUUUGUAAAUAUUGGAAGAUGGUCUCACAGAUAGACUUCCCUGUCUCUCCCACGGAAUCGAGGCAUAAUGGCCAUAAUUGCAUUCUCUGUCUCAAAGAACAGUACUUAGCAUGUGCUUCUCAGGUAAAAGCUUUACUGCUGUUCUCCAGAGGAACAAAGGAGUCAUCUUCAAGGAAUGUCACAAGGUUUCAUGCCAAACAGGACUUCCUAGUAG